UGGUAAACGAUGUGGGAAGGCUUAGACAGCUAGGAGGUUGGCUUAGAAGCAGCCAUCCUUUAAAGAAAGCGUAAUAGCUCACUAGUCGAGUCGGCCUGCGCGGAAGAUGUAACGGGGCUCAAACCACACACCGAAGCUGCGGGUGUCACGCAAGUGACGCGGUAGAGGAGCGUUCUGUAAGCCUGUGAAGGUGAGUUGAGAAGCUUGCUGGAGGUAUCAGAAGUGCGAAUGCUGACAUGAGUAACGACAAUGGGUGUGAAAAACACCCACGCCGAAAGACCAAGGGUUCCUGCGCAACGUU
rnacentral:rRNA from 1 species